UAGGGAAUCUUCGGCAAUGGACGAAAGUCUGACCGAGCAACGCCGCGUGAGUGAAGAAGGUUUUCGGAUCGUAAAACUCUGUUGUUAGAGAAGAACAAGGACGUUAGUAACUGAACGUCCCCUGACGGUAUCUAACCAGAAAGCCACGGCUAACUACGUGCCAGCAGCCGCGGUAAUACGUAGGUGGCAAGCGUUGUCCGGAUUUAUUGGGCGUAAAGCGAGCGCAGGCGGUUUCUUAAGUCUGAUGUGAAAGCCCCCGGCUCAACCGGGGAGGGUCAUUGGCAACUGUGAGACUUGAGUGCAGAAGAGGAGAGUGGAAUUCCAUGUGUAGCGGUGAAAUGCGUAGAUAUAUGGCGGAACACCAGUGGCGAAGGCGGCUCUCUGGUCUGUAACUGACGCUGAGGCUCGAAAGCGUGGGGAGCACACAGG
rnacentral:rRNA from 1 species